rnacentral:rRNA from 1 species
UACGUAGGCAGCAAGCGUUGUUCGGAGUUACUGGGCGUAAAGGGUGUGUAGGCGGUUCUUUAAGUUUGUUGUGAAAUCUCCCGGCUUAACCGGGAGGGUGCGGUGAAUACUGAGGGACUAGAGUACGGGAGAGGAAAGUGGAAUUCCUGGUGUAGCGGUGAAAUGCGUAGAUAUCAGGAGGAACACCGGUGGUGUAGACGGCUUUCUGGACCGUAACUGACGCUGAGACACGAAAGCGUGGGUAGCAAACAGG